rnacentral:rRNA from 1 species
AUGAGCCGCCGCUUUGUCCCCGUCGACAGACGCAUCUUGGAGCGGAACAUCAAGGCUCGGUACCACGCUGGAGACAUUGGCACCGAGGAUGCACUCAACCUGUUCGACGAAUUGAUCCAGGUUGCUGGGCCUUCCUCAGUCCUCGCCAUCAACUGCCUCCUCACCGUUGUCGGCCGUGAUUGCCCCGCGCUCGGCGUCUCCCUCUUCAACCGUGUUGCAAGAGCCAAGGUGCCUCCCCACAAUAUCACCUAUGGCAUUCUAGUCGACUGCUGCUGCCGUGCUGGCCGCUUGGACCUUGGACAUGCUGGCAUGGGGCACGUCAUUAAGUUGGGAUUUGCAGCAGAAGCCAUCGUCAAUUUCAGCCACCUACUCAAGGCCAUCUGCGCCGAGGAGAAGACCAGCUAUGCAAUGGAAAUCGUACUCCGGAUAAUGCCUGAAUUUAACUGCAUCCCGAACAUUUUCUCAUACAGCAUUCUUUUGAAGGGUCUUUGCAACGAGAAGAGGAGCCAAGAGGCUCUCGAGCUGAUUCACAUGAUGAUUGACCAUGGAGGUAGCUGCCAACCUAAUGUGGUGUCCUAUAGCACCGUACUUGAUGGCUUGUUGAAAGAUGGUGAGGUGGGCAAGGCCUACAGCCUAUUUUGUGUCAUGCUACAGAGGGGAAUUUCGCCGAAUGUUGUGACCUGCAAUUCAAUCAUCUCUGGCAUGUGCAAAGUUCAUGCGAUGGACAAGGCAGAGGAGGUUCUUCAACAGAUGACUGAUUGA